UACGGGGGGGGCAAGCGUUGUUCGGAAUUACUGGGCGUAAAGGGUGCGUAGGCGGCUUUCUAAGUCGGAUGUGAAAACUCUGGGCUCAACCCAGAGCCUGCAUCUGAAACUGGAGGGCUAGGGUUUUGGAGGGGAAAGCGGAAUUCCAGGUGUAGCGGUGAAAUGCGUAGAUAUCUGGAGGAACACCGGUGGCGAAGGCGGCUUUCUGGACAAAUACCGACGCUGAGGCACGAAAGCUAGGGGAGCAAACAGGAUUAGAAACCCCAGUAGUCC
rnacentral:rRNA from 1 species